GUUUGCUGAGGAAGAAGCAAAAAAAUGCCAUUAUACAAACACUUUAUUUAGACUACUGGCAUUAUGUUCCAAUUAAACACAAAAGAACAGUCUGACAUUUCAAAUUCUUCCGAGAAUCUGCAUAUUUCCUUUCAGGAAAAAAACAAAGGGAAAAAUUAAAAUAUAUUAUCAUCUUUUAAAAAUCCUUUUAAAAAUAAACAAGACAAACACAAACAAAACACAACAAAAAAGCCCCUCUCUGUCUCCUGCCUUUCUACGUGUGCGUCUAUCGGCUCCGCUGGGCGACUCUCUGAGGAGGAGGAGGAGGAGGAGGAAGCUGAGAGCGCUCAUUUGCAUAUAAACUGUGAGAGGCAGGGAUUGUCAUCGGCGGCACAUUAGACGCACGGAGCGCGAAGGGAGAAGAUUUUCAUGUGCAAAUUCCAUCCUCGCCAACUCCGUGCAUCAUUAUCAUCAGCACCUACGAAGGGAACCCCUCCAGUCCCCAGAACCAGCGCCGUCCCCACGGACCCGACUCACACCAAACCCCGGCCUCUUCCCACAAGGUCCCACGGCAGCAGCGCUGGACCUCACUGCUCCCACCGGCGCCGGCGUACGCGUCGUGUGUGGAUCCAGACGCGACGUGGGUCCAGAUACGACGCGGGUCCAGAUAGGAUGUGGGUCCAGAUACGAUGUGGACCAACAUUGGACCCUGCCUCUCACACGUCGUAUCUGGACCCAUGUCGUGUGCGGAUCCAGACGCGACGAGGGUCCAGACGCGACGCGGGUCCACGCGACGUGGACCAACAUUGGACCCUGCCUCUCACACGUCGUAUCUGGACCCACGUCCAGAUGCAGCACCUUCACCCGGCGUGACCAGCGCUGCAUUAAUUGCUUGUAAACUGGAGGCUGCACGGUUGCUGGCUUUGGAGUUUAAAAGCAGAUUACAGCCAAUUAGCGAGGCCUGUGAAAGCCUUUGAGCCGGGGGAAUAGUGGCUGAUCCUAAUGUGGGACAGCUGUGAGCAACAAAGGAGCAGUCGCAGUCCUGCUUGUGAACACAGGCGACGGAUUGAUAGCAACGGCUCCAAAGAAGCUAUUACAAGCAUGAAAAAUGAAUGCAGACAUGAAUGCAGCCACGCAAACACACGAAAGAGCGCAAAGUACGCAGACGCUCCCAAAGUGACAAAACGGGAACAGACGGGAGCUCCUUCUUGCAGACGCGUCAGCGCCACAGCCGAGUGUUUCCCUGUAAACUGCCAUCUUUAAUUUCUUUGUGUGACAUGCUCCACUGUACCAAGACACACCAGAGACCGAGCGUGAGGAGGCAGGAAAACGCGAGUCAAAGAUCUCCACAGGCUCCAUAAUCUGCCACGAUUCAUGCCGAACCCGCGCCGACGAGCUCCAUCAUCUCCUUCUUCCUCUUUAUCUUCUUUCAUUCCAUUUUGUGUCACAUCAGCAGC